rnacentral:misc_RNA from 1 species
UUUCCGUAGGUGAACCUGCGGAAGGAUCAUUAUUGAAUAAACAGUGUGGGUUGUUGCUGGCCUUCUGGCAUGUGCACGCCUGCCAUAUGUUUCAUUCCCUUCUUUCCACCUGUGCACUAUGUGUAGGCUAUGUAUGCUGUAUUGUCAGGCCCUUCAUAAGGCUUGGUUUAGAGAGGAUGCUUGUCUUAUGAGACAGGCUCAUCUUGGGCGUACAGGUCUAAGUUUUACACCAACACCAAAUGAAUGUCUUAGAAUGUAUUUUUUCAGGCUCUUGCUAGCCUUUAAACCAUAUACAACUUUCAACAACGGAUCUCUUGGCUCUC